rnacentral:rRNA from 1 species
UACGGAGGGUGCAAGCGUUAUCCGGAUUCAUUGGGUUUAAAGGGUGCGUAGGUGGGCAAGUAAGUCAGUGGUGAAAUCUCCGGGCUUAACCCGGAAACUGCCAUUGAUACUAUUUGUCUUGAAUACUGUGGAGGUCAGCGGAAUAUGUCAUGUAGCGGUGAAAUGCUUAGAUAUGACAUAGAACACCAAUUGCGAAGGCAGCUGGCUACACAAAUAUUGACACUGAGGCACGAAAGCGUGGGGAUCAAACAGG